CCCGCACAAGCGGUGGAGCAUGUGGUUAAUUCGAUGAUACGCGAAAACCUUACCUGGGCUUGAACUGUACCUGACAGGUGUAGAGAUACACUCUUCUUCGGACAGGUAUAGAGGUGCUGCAUGGUUGUCGUCAGCUCGUGUCGUGAGAUGUUGGGUUAAGUCCCGCAACGAGCGCAACCCUUACUCUCUGUUGCCAUCAGGUAAUGCUGAGCACUCUGAGGGAACUGCCGGUGACAAACCGGAGGAAGGUGGGAUGACGUCAAAUCAUCACGGCCCUUACGUCCAGGGCUACACACGUGCUACAAUGGCCGGUACAAAGAGCUGCGAUGCCGCGAAGUGGAGCUAAUCUCAAAAAACCGGUCUCAGUUCGGAUUGCAGUCUGCAACUCGACUGCAUGAAGUUGGAAUCGCUAGUAAUCGUAGAUCAGCACGCUACGGUGAAUACGUUCCCGGGCCUU
rnacentral:rRNA from 1 species